UACGUAGGGUGCAAGCGUUAAUCGGAAUUACUGGGCGUAAAGCGUACGCAGGCGGCUUUGCAAGUCGGGUGUGAAAUCCCCAGGCUUAACCUGGGAACUGCAUUCGAGACUGCAUUGCUAGAGUAUGGGAGAGGGAAGUGGAAUUUCCGGUGUAGCGGUGAAAUGCGUAGAUAUCGGAAGGAACAUCAGUGGCGAAAGCGACUUCCUGGACCAAUACUGACGCUCAUGUGCGAAAGCGUGGGGAGCAAACAGG
rnacentral:rRNA from 1 species